AUUGAACGCUGGCGGCAGGCCUAACACAUGCAAGUCGAGCGGAUGAAGGGAGCUUGCUCCUGGAUUCAGCGGCGGACGGGUGAGUAAUGCCUAGGAAUCUGCCUGGUAGUGGGGGAUAACGUCCGGAAACGGGCGCUAAUACCGCAUACGUCCUGAGGGAGAAAGUGGGGGAUUUUCGGACCUCACGCUAUCAGAUGAGCCUAGGUCGGAUUAGCUAGUUGGUGGGGUAAAGGCCUACCAAGGCGACGAUCCGUAACUGGUCUGAGAGGAUGAUCAGUCACACUGGAACUGAGACACGGUCCAGACUCCUACGGGAGGCAGCAGUGGGGAAUAUUGGACAAUGGGCGAAAGCCUGAUCCAGCCAUGCCGCGUGUGUGAAGAAGGUCUUCGGAUUGUAAAGCACUUUAAGUUGGGAGGAAGGGCAGUAAGUUAAUACCUUGCUGUUUUGACGUUACCAACAGAAUAAGCACCGGCUAACUUCGUG
rnacentral:rRNA from 1 species